ACUAAGCGUACACGGUGGAUGCCCUGGCAGUCAGAGGCGAUGAAGGACGUGCUAAUCUGCGAUAAGCGUCGGUAAGGUGAUAUGAACCGUUAUAACCGGCGAUUUCCGAAUGGGGAAACCCAGUGUGAUUCGUCACACUAUCAUUAACUGAAUCCAUAGGUUAAUGAGGCGAACCGGGGGAACUGAAACAUCUAAGUACCCCGAGGAAAAGAAAUCAACCGAGAUUCCCCCAGUAGCGGCGAGCGAACGGGGAGCAGCCCAGAGCCUGAAUCAGUGUGUGUGUUAGUGGAAGCGUCUGGAAAGGCGCGCGAUACAGGGUGACAGCCCCGUACACAAAAAUGCACAUGCUGUGAGCUCGAUGAGUAGGGCGGGACACGUGGUAUCCUGUCUGAAUAUGGGGGGACCAUCCUCCAAGGCUAAAUACUCCUGACUGACCGAUAGUGAACCAGUACCGUGAGGGAAAGGCGAAAAGAACCCCGGCGAGGGGAGUGAAAAAGAACCUGAAACCGUGUACGUACAAGCAGUGGGAGCACGCUUAGGCGUGUGACUGCGUACCUUUUGUAUAAUGGGUCAGCGACUUAUAUUCUGUAGCAAGGUUAACCGAAUAGGGGAGCCGAAGGGAAACCGAGUCUUAACUGGGCGUUAAGUUGCAGGGUAUAGACCCGAAACCCGGUGAUCUAGCCAUGGGCAGGUUGAAGGUUGGGUAACACUAACUGGAGGACCGAACCGACUAAUGUUGAAAAAUUAGCGGAUGACUUGUGGCUGGGGGUGAAAGGCCAAUCAAACCGGGAGAUAGCUGGUUCUCCCCGAAAGCUAUUUAGGUAGCGCCUCGUGAAUUCAUCUCCGGGGGUAGAGCACUGUUUCGGCAAGGGGGUCAUCCCGACUUACCAACCCGAUGCAAACUGCGAAUACCGGAGAAUGUUAUCACGGGAGACACACGGCGGGUGCUAACGUCCGUCGUGAAGAGGGAAACAACCCAGACCGCCAGCUAAGGUCCCAAAGUCAUGGUUAAGUGGGAAACGAUGUGGGAAGGCCCAGACAGCCAGGAUGUUGGCUUAGAAGCAGCCAUCAUUUAAAGAAAGCGUAAUAGCUCACUGGUCGAGUCGGCCUGCGCGGAAGAUGUAACGGGGCUAAACCAUGCACCGAAGCUGCGGCAGCGACACUAUGUGUUGUUGGGUAGGGGAGCGUUCUGUAAGCCUGUGAAGGUGUACUGUGAGGUAUGCUGGAGGUAUCAGAAGUGCGAAUGCUGACAUAAGUAACGAUAAAGCGGGUGAAAAGCCCGCUCGCCGGAAGACCAAGGGUUCCUGUCCAACGUUAAUCGGGGCAGGGUGAGUCGACCCCUAAGGCGAGGCCGAAAGGCGUAGUCGAUGGGAAACAGGUUAAUAUUCCUGUACUUGGUGUUACUGCGAAGGGGGGACGGAGAAGGCUAUGUUGGCCGGGCGACGGUUGUCCCGGUUUAAGCGUGUAGGCUGGUUUUCCAGGCAAAUCCGGAAAAUCAAGGCUGAGGCGUGAUGACGAGGCACUACGGUGCUGAAGCAACAAAUGCCCUGCUUCCAGGAAAAGCCUCUAAGCAUCAGGUAACAUCAAAUCGUACCCCAAACCGACACAGGUGGUCAGGUAGAGAAUACCAAGGCGCUUGAGAGAACUCGGGUGAAGGAACUAGGCAAAAUGGUGCCGUAACUUCGGGAGAAGGCACGCUGAUAUGUAGGUGAAGUCCCUCGCGGAUGGAGCUGAAAUCAGUCGAAGAUACCAGCUGGCUGCAACUGUUUAUUAAAAACACAGCACUGUGCAAACACGAAAGUGGACGUAUACGGUGUGACGCCUGCCCGGUGCCGGAAGGUUAAUUGAUGGGGUUAGCGCAAGCGAAGCUCUUGAUCGAAGCCCCGGUAAACGGCGGCCGUAACUAUAACGGUCCUAAGGUAGCGAAAUUCCUUGUCGGGUAAGUUCCGACCUGCACGAAUGGCGUAAUGAUGGCCAGGCUGUCUCCACCCGAGACUCAGUGAAAUUGAACUCGCUGUGAAGAUGCAGUGUACCCGCGGCAAGACGGAAAGACCCCGUGAACCUUUACUAUAGCUUGACACUGAACAUUGAGCCUUGAUGUGUAGGAUAGGUGGGAGGCUUUGAAGUGUGGACGCCAGUCUGCAUGGAGCCGGCCUUGAAAUACCACCCUUUAAUGUUUGAUGUUCUAACGUUGACCCGUGAUCCGGGUUGCGGACAGUGUCUGGUGGGUAGUUUGACUGGGGCGGUCUCCUCCUAAAGAGUAACGGAGGAGCACGAAGGUUGGCUAAUCCUGGUCGGACAUCAGGAGGUUAGUGCAAUGGCAUAAGCCAGCUUGACUGCGAGCGUGACGGCGCGAGCAGGUGCGAAAGCAGGUCAUAGUGAUCCGGUGGUUCUGAAUGGAAGGGCCAUCGCUCAACGGAUAAAAGGUACUCCGGGGAUAACAGGCUGAUACCGCCCAAGAGUUCAUAUCGACGGCGGUGUUUGGCACCUCGAUGUCGGCUCAUCACAUCCUGGGGCUGAAGUAGGUCCCAAGGGUAUGGCUGUUCGCCAUUUAAAGUGGUACGCGAGCUGGGUUUAGAACGUCGUGAGACAGUUCGGUCCCUAUCUGCCGUGGGCGCUGGAGAACUGAGGGGGGCUGCUCCUAGUACGAGAGGACCGGAGUGGACGCAUCACUGGUGUUCGGGUUGUCAUGCCAAUGGCACUGCCCGGUAGCUAAAUGCGGAAGAGAUAAGUGCUGAAAGCAUCUAAGCACGAAACUUGCCCCGAGAUGAGUUCUCCCUGACUCCUUGAGAGUCCUGAAGGAACGUUGAAGACGACGACGUUGAUAGGCCGGGUGUGUAAGCGCAGCGAUGCGUUGAGCUAACCGGUACUAAUGAACCGUGAGGCUUAACC
rnacentral:rRNA from 2 species